rnacentral:rRNA from 1 species
GACGAACGCUGGCGGCGUGCUUAACACAUGCAAGUCGAACGGAAAGGCCCUGCUUUUGUGGGGUGCUCGAGUGGCGAACGGGUGAGUAACACGUGAGUAACCUGCCCCUGACUUUGGGAAAACUUCAGGAAACUGGGGCUAAUACCGGAUAGGAGCUCCUGCUGCAUGGUGGGGGUUGGAAAGUUUCGGCGGUUGGGGAUGGACUCGCGGCUUAUCAGCUUGUUGGUGGGGUAGUGGCUUACCAAGGCUUUGACGGGUAGCCGGCCUGAGAGGGUGACCGGCCACAUUGGGACUGAGAUACGGCCCAGACUCCUACGGGAGGCAGCAGUGGGGAAUAUUGCACAAUGGGCGGAAGCCUGAUGCAGCAACGCCGCGUGCGGGAUGACGGCCUUCGGGUUGUAAACCGCUUUCGCCUGUGACGAAGCGUGAGUGACGGUAAUGGGUAAAGAAGCACCGGCUAACUACGUG